AUGUUUUAUUCAGUGGAAGGAGACUUUAGGAGAAACAAGGAUGCUCAGGAGCUAACGUUAGCUAAUGUUGACUCUACCGUAACUUUGGUAGCAAAUAAUGCUUUUUUGUCUCUAACAACUUCUACGAAUAAAAGACACAGAAUCGGAAAAUUCAUACUACAGAGAAAAAAACGGUCUUUGGUGAGAGUUGUAUGGCUAAUUUAUCCCAACGUUGUAUCGAGCUACUGGGGACAUCUCAGGGAGGUUCAGUACAGAGGAGGCCAGAACACUCUUAGGAUCCAUUUAAAACAUCAAAGUCAGGUUUUCCUGCUGGACACAAGAUGUCUCCUACUUCAUUGUAAAGUCCAUUCUCAGAGGAUGUGCACUGGUGGCUUCAAGUUUCUACAUCACACUGUACAAGUUGCAUACUGGACCAGGACUGACUUCAAACUGUUUGUGAAGUCAAAAUCAGAUUUUCAGUGAGCACAGAGACUACUUUUAGCAGAUGUGAUAAUAUCCUUCGAGUGUCAAACUCUACACAUGUAUAUUUACUGAUGGAGGUUUUCUGUAUUAAAUAGCUUGCAGUAAUGAAAAACACAUUUUGUCUCAGAAACAAACUCUACAAUAGCUCCUUGUGUUUCUGUGACCCCCAGAUAUUAAAAACAGGGCUCGUCCGGGAUUUGAACCCGGGACCUCUCGCACCCUAAGCGAGAAUCAUACCCCUAGACCAACGAGCCUUUAUGUCCAGCUGUUUACAGCUGUGUUUCUAUUCUUCUAAGACCUGUGCUCAAACAUCAGGGUGAUGAUGUGGCAACUUGGGACACCUCAUAUUAUAUAGUCUAACAGCACCCUCUAGUGGUCAUAAUUAUAUGGUCAUCUUACUGUGACAUCGAACCCUAAAAGCACUGAAACUGCACCUCUUUAAUACCUAAACGUUAAGGUAGGGUUAAAAGUCAGCUAAGUAAACCAAGAACUAAGGAGCAGAAUAUUUCCACUUUUAAGAUCAUGGUGAUCAAUGAGGUCCAGUGUGUAGGAUUUAGUGGCAUCUAUCGGUGUAGUUGCACAUUAUAAUGCCUCACCCUCCUGUUCUUAGUAUGUAGGAGAAACUAUGGUCGCCCCGAAACUCACAAAAAAUGUAUCUAUCUAGAGCCAGUAUUUGGUGUGUCCGUUCUACAGCGUGUUAAGAAAAGACAGUUGAAAUGUGGUGAGACUUAAGCACAUAAAGUGGUGGGUAGAGUACUGAAAGUCUAUUCUCAAGUUAAAGUACAAUUGCUCCUAUAAAAUAUGACUAAGGUCAAAGUGAAAAUGAACAUUUAAGAAGCCUACUCAAAUAAAAGUAAAAAGAAAUACCUGGUCACUAAAGUACUCAAAGUAUAAGUUACUUUUGUGAUUUUGGUAUAGAAAGUGUGGCUUUGGUCUGUCAUUGUACUGCAAAAAUGUACUCAAGUAAAGAGUAAACCUGCAGGCUGUGUGUUGUCACUUUUGUCUCAGAAAUAAACUUUACAGUAGAACAUUUCUGUGACCCCAAGGGGUUAAAAGGAGGGCUCGUCCGGGAUUUGAACCCGGGACCUCUCGCACCCAAAGCGAGAAUCAUACCCCUAGACCAACGAGCCAACUUAUAUGAACAUUCACAGCUGUUUGUCGGUACCACAAGGCUUGAACUCUUCAACUUGAUGUUGCAUUUUGGUGUCCUGCACCUCAUCUUGACAAAGCAUGUCACUUGUGAGACAGCCCAUCAUUGAAAUUCAGGAAAUUAAAAUCAAGUAAGAAUCUCAAGUAUAACCUUAAUGAGAAGAUGAAACCAUACUAUCUUCACUUGUUGCGGCAGUUUACUUCCCCCAAACGCAAAUUCAGAAAGUGCACUGCAGGAUUAUGUCCUAGGUGUAUACAUGCAUGUAUAUAUGUAUACAAAUAUUUUAUUUUAUAUGUGAUUAUAUGAAUUUGGUUAUAUUUUUCUAUGAGUGUAUCAUGAGAGAACUACAAGCUUUUAUUUUGUUAUUCAACCUUGUGUUGUAUGAUGAUAAACACAUUUUCUCGAUUCUUUGAGAUUGUAACUCCCUCGUUUUACCAUCUCCAAGAGCAAAGGAAAAGGUAGAGUAACUGUACCAAGUCUCAUAUUUUCCAACCACUUAAAGGUCCAGUGUGCAACAUUUAGGAGGAUCUAAAAUCUGAAAAUAAGAAUUGUUGUGGUUUUGUAAUGUUAAAAUGAGACGUUUUAUCUACAGAAGCCGGGAACCGAGAAUCAUACCCCUAGACCAACGAGCCAUUUAAUGUCUGUAAAUUAAAACUAAAUAAGAAUAAAAAUAGGAAUCAUUCUUAAGAAAAUGAUUUUCCACAAAGUCCAACAACACCCUUUGGUCGUUAUAUUUGUACUAUGAGGUACUGGUUAUUCUAUGUUCAUCCUACUGUGCCUAAUAAUAGCCUCUAAUAUUGAUGUAGGAAAAACAAAAAUAAUCCUGAGAGGAUAGCUACACUGUUUCUUAACUAAGACAAAGCUGUGUAGAAGACCACCACAGAGUGGUAGAACAUUUGCAGACAGUAGAUAGAGGGAUCACUUCAACAAUGUCAUUGGACAGUACAAUGUCCAGCUCCAGCUUCUUUGUUUUGACAUAAGAACCUCAUCAUAUUUUUAAGAGCUCCAGUGUGCACUCCAACAAUGUUCAGGAUUAAGAAAGCAGGGCUCGUCCGGGAUUUGAACCCGGGACCUCUCGCACCCUAAGCGAGAAUCAUACCCCUAGACCAACGAGCCAUGCAACUGGAGGGAAACAGAGUGAUGUGGUCCCCUGUUUAUUCCAGACCUGCACUUGAACUCCACAUUUAUCUACUCUAGCCCUUGAGCACUUGUCUUCUGAACUCUUCACAGAAUUCUCCUUUAGUGUUGCUCAUCUCUGGCAUUACUUGCUGACAUCAGACGCCUCUGCCAGCUGACUUGACCACUUUCUGUAACAGUGUAAGAAAGACAUAGACUUAACCUAAUUUGGUAGUGUAUUUAGAUGCAUAUGGUUUGCUAAAGCACAGUGUAUUUACAUGCCAAAUAAUAACAGCCUCGUAUAUUUCCAUAUAGCAUCUGUUGUGGCCAGAGCGAUCAUCUUCGCUGUCACAUGCUGGGGCAGUGGACUGAAGGUCGCAGACACUAACAGAAUAAAUAAAUGUAUCAAGAGGGCCGGUGAUGUCAUGGGGGAGGAGCUGGACACCCUGACGACUGUGGCUGAGAGGAGGAUGCUGUCCAGGCUACAGUCUAUCUUGGACAAUGUCUCACAUGUCUGUCACCCAGAUGCACCACAGAGCGCCACAGGAAAUCAUUCCUGCCUGUGGUCAUCAAACUCUACAACGCCUCCCUCAGAGAGUCAGACACCCCCUCUCU
rnacentral:lncRNA from 15 species